rnacentral:tRNA from 2 species
GGGCCCUUAGCUCAGCUGGAAGAGCGCCUCAAUGGCAUUGAGGAGGUCAGCGGUUCGAUCCCGCUAGGGUCCACCA